rnacentral:rRNA from 1 species
CCUACGGGUGGCAGCAGUCGAGAAUCAUUCACAAUGGGGGAAACCCUGAUGGUGCGACGCCGCGUGGGGGAAUGAAGGUCUUCGGAUUGUAAACCCCUGUCAUGUGGGAGCAAAUUAAAAAGAUAGUACCACAAGAGGAAGAGACGGCUAACUCUGUGCCAGCAGCCCCGGUAAUACAGAGGUCUCAAGCGUUGUUCGGAAUCACUGGGCGUAAGGCGUGCGUAGGCUGUUUCGUAAGUCGUGUGUGAAAGGCGCGGGCUCAACCCGCGGACGGCACAUGAUACUGCGAGACUAGAGUAAUGGAGGGGGAACCGGAAUUCUCGGUGUAGCAGUGAAAUGCGUAGAUAUCGAGAGGAACACUCGUGGCGAAGGCGGGUUCCUGGACAUUAACUGACGCUGAGGCACGAAGGCCAGGGGAGCGAAAGGGAUUAGAUACCCGGGUAGUC